rnacentral:rRNA from 1 species
UACGAAGGGGGCUAGCGUUGCUCGGAAUCACUGGGCGUAAAGGGCGCGUAGGCGGCCUGAUCAGUCGGGGGUGAAAGCCUGUGGCUCAACCACAGAAUGGCCUUCGAUACUGUCAGGCUUGAGACCGGAAGAGGUAAGUGGAACUGCGAGUGUAGAGGGUGAAAAUUCGUAGAUAUUCGCAAGAACACCAGUGGCGAAGGCGGCUUACUGGUCCGGAUCUGACGCUGAGGCGCGAAAAGCGUGGGGGAGCAAACAGGGAUUAGAAACCCUUGA